rnacentral:rRNA from 1 species
GUACCAGACUCCUACGGGAGGCAGCAGUGGGGAAUAUUGCACAAUGGGCGAAAGCCUGAUGCAGCGACGCCGCGUGAGCGAUGAAGUAUUUCGGUAUGUAAAGCUCUAUCAGCAGGGAAGAAAAUGACGGUACCUGACUAAGAAGCCCCGGCUAACUACGUGCCAGCAGCCGCGGUAAUACGUAGGGGGCAAGCGUUAUCCGGAUUCACUGGGUGUAAAGGGAGCGUAGACGGCGACGCAAGUCUGGAGUGAAAGCCCGGGGCCCAACCCCGGGACUGCUCUGGAAACUGCGGCGCUGGAGUACGGGAGGGGCAGGCGGAAUUCCUGGUGUAGCGGUGAAAUGCGUAGAUAUCAGGAGGAACACCGGCGGCGAAGGCGGCCUGCUGGACCGUAACUGGCGUUGAGGCUCGAAAGCGUGGGGAGCAAACAGGAUUAGAUACCCCCGUA